CACCACUCAUCCUAGAAAGUGCCAGGAGAAGCGGCGGCAAGGUGUCCCAUGGAGCUCUCUGGAAGAAGAUCAGACGCCAACCGAACCAGCACACGGGGGCAGGGCAGCUCUCUCUCGACCCUUCUUUAUAUUUUUUUAACGUCAGCUCUACAUUUUCCAUUGAUACAGAAGGGGAUGAAAGAACAGAUAUCCAGGCGAACAAAGGGAGAAGAUCAACCAAUCAGCAGCAAAACUAGGCUUCAGAAGGGGAACACGCAGUGCUAUUGGACCUCUAAUCAUUCCGCUCCUCGCAGAGUCCACCAAGCCAGCAGAUAAACUGUCGACCAUACUCUGCAGAUCACUUCUGACUUGCAUAUUGAAAUGAUGGAUGAGCUGCGGCCUCCAUCUGUGGUCCAGAAGCUCCAUGGACAGUCCAUGUUGUUCAGAGAAAUCUCUUCUUCUGCCAUGAGAAGUCAUGUAAUCAACAAUGCACAUUAUGCGCGCAAUUUCUCCGUGACAAAAUACCAUCAGACGAAUGGAAGUAUUGGGCGUUUGCCUCGCAAUACACCAUCCCCGAUCCGUGCCCCCGCGCCCGAGGAGAAGGGUUUUUCUGGAUUCAUGAUCGAUUUUCUAAUGGGUGGAGUUUCUGCUGCCGUCUCCAAAACGGCGGCUGCUCCGAUUGAGCGUGUUAAGCUCUUGAUUCAGAACCAGGAUGAAAUGAUCAAGAGUGGUAGGCUUUCUCAUCCUUACAAAAGUAUCGGCCAUUGCUUCACCCGCACAAUAAAAGAUGAGGGUGUGGUUGCACUCUGGAGGGGAAACACAGCCAAUGUUAUCCGUUACUUCCCGACUCAGGCCUUAAACUUUGCCUUCAAGGACCACUUCAAGCGCAUGUUCAACUUUAGAAAGGACAAGGAUGGCUACUGGAAGUGGUUCUUCGGCAACAUAGCUUCCGGAGGAGCCGCCGGCGCUUCUUCUCUGUUGUUUGUGUAUUCUCUGGAUUACGCUCGUACUCGCCUUGCCAAUGAUGCCAAGGCUGCAAAGGUGGGUGGCCAGAGGCAGUUCGAUGGCAUCGUAGAUGUCUAUCGCAAGACCCUUGCUAGCGACGGUGUCCGCGGCUUGUACCGUGGCUUCAACGUCUCCUGUGUGGGCAUCAUCGUUUAUCGAGGUCUUUAUUUCGGAAUGUACGACUCCCUCAAGCCGGCGGUUCUUGUUGGUUCUCUUGAGGAUAACUUGCUUGCCAGUUUCUUGCUUGGCUGGGGUGUGACGAUGGGUGCAGGGCUUGCCUCGUAUCCCAUUGAUACCGUCCGCCGCCGUAUGAUGAUGACAUCUGGUGAGUCCGUGAAGUAUAAGAACUCCAUGGAUGCUUUCAGGAAGAUCAUCGCCGAGGAGGGCGCCAAGUCCCUCUUCAAGGGUGCUGGCGCCAACAUCCUCCGUGCUGUUGCGGGUGCUGGUGUGCUUGCUGUGUAUGACAAGCUCCAGGUGGUCGUCUUUGGCAAGAAGUAUGGGUCCGGUGGCGGCUAAGUAUGGAUGCUGUAGGGCUAAAUUUUGUGCGAUGGUGUAGCGCUGCUUUUGAAUAAAAUCUGCCAUAUGGGGUGUGUAUCUUGUGGAUGAUCCUAUUUCGGCGCCAACGGUGCUCUCCGGUGGAUCUGUUCUCUCCUUCCUGCAAACACGAAACAUCACACAAAGCAAUAAAAAAUACAGACAUCAACUGAUCAAACGAACAAACUGAAUAGCAGAGUAUGAGACUAGUUUGCACUUUGCAGCAUCAUGUGGCUCUAAC
rnacentral:rRNA from 1 species